UACAGAGGGUGCGAGCGUUGUCCGGAAUCACUGGGCGUAAAGCGCGCGCAGGCGGCUAUCCAAGUCAGGGGUGAAAUCCUGGAGCUCAACUCCAGAACUGCCUUUGAUACUGAGGAUCUUGAGUUCGGGAGAGGUGAGUGGAACUGCGAGUGUAGAGGUGAAAUUCGUAGAUAUUCGCAAGAACACCAGUGGCGAAGGCGGCUCACUGGCCCGAUACUGACGCUGAGGCACGAAAGCGUGGGGAGCAAACAGGG
rnacentral:rRNA from 1 species